rnacentral:rRNA from 1 species
GAUCCUGGCUCAGGACGAACGCUGGCGGCGUGCCUAACACAUGAAAGUCGAACGGAACUGUUUUGAAAGAUUUCUUCGGAAUGAAUUUGAUUUAGUUUAGUGGCGGACGGGUGAGUAACGCGUGAGUAACCUGCCUUCAAGAGGGGGAUAACAUUCUGAAAAGGAUGCUAAUACCGCAUGACAUAUCGGAACCACAUGGUUUUGAUAUCAAAGAUUUUAUCGCUUGAAGAUGGACUCGCGUCCGAUUAGUUAG